GACGAACGCUGGCGGCGUGCUUAACACAUGCAAGUCGAACGGUGAAGCUCCAGCUUGCUGGAGUGGAUCAGUGGCGAACGGGUGAGUAACACGUGAGCAACCUGCCCCUGACUCUGGAAUAAGCGCUGGAAACGGCGUCUAAUACUGGAUACGAGAAGGGUCCGCAUGGGCACUUUCUGGAAAGUUUUUCGGUUGGGGAUGGGCUCGCGGCCUAUCAGCUUGUUGGUGAGGUAAUGGCUCACCAAGGCGACGACGGGUAGCCGGCCUGAGAGGGCGACCAGCCACACUGGGACUGAGACACGGCCCAGACUCCUACGGGAGGCAGCAGUGGGGAAUAUUGCACAAUGGGCGAAAGCCUGAUGCAGCGACGCCGCGUGAGGGAUGACGGCCUUCGGGUUGUAAACCUCUUUCAGCAGGGAAGAAGCGAAAGUGACGGUACCUGCAGAAGAAGCACCGGCUAACUACGUG
rnacentral:rRNA from 1 species